GUCGCACUCAGAGGCUUGCUAUGUGAAAGGGGUCACCAGUAUAAAAGUUUGAGAACCACUGCCAUAGGGUGAUUGUAUAUCUUCAUAUAGGUAGAUAGUGCUGAAGUAAUAGAAGUGUAUCUUUAGACUCAGUACACAUUUUAAGUUUGAUAGAUGAGCCAUUGUAAACUGGGAGAUCUCUUUGCUGAGGGGGCUGCAAGGGAUUACUGGAGCUGGGUAUGCCUCACUUAUGAUGCAGCAAACUAUUUUGUUAACUUUUUAACUUUAAAACAGCCUUUUUGGAAAAUGCAGUGUUGGUGCAAGGAUAUUAGAAAGACAAGGUAAUAUCUUUUUACCUUUUCUGUUGGUGAGAGAGACAAACUUGCACCAAACUCUUCUUCAGAAAAAUAGUAGGUAAUCUGAGUAGUAUCAGAAAGACAUAUAUAUCUGGGUAUCCCCUAUCAUUUUAUGCAAGCUUUGAUUAAAAGGGAAAAGGAAUGAAUGGAUUUGAAUACAAGAACAGAAAGUAGAGGGAGUUCUGUUUUGUAGUGUUACUUCUUUAAUCCCUUAUGUGACAAACUCUGGUGAGAUCAAAAAGGUUUGGGACACCAUGGCAACUUGUUGGGUGCACUGGUUAAUAAUAGAGUCCAGAUUUAACAUUUUUCAAACAAGGAUGGCUUAAUUAAGGGGGGAAAAGAGGCCCAGAUGAUUUCUUGAUCUUGACAAGAGUCAUGCUACUACCGUAGCUAUUCUGUCAGUUCUCUAGAAGUUCUCUCACACAGUAUGAGUCUCAUGAGAAUGAGAGCCUGUGAGUUUUUAUGGUGUCUACCUAUCUCAUCAGGCCACACAGUUAAAGCCACAGCCAUCAUUUAUCAAUGAGAAACUACAUCCUGUUUUUUUCACUGGUGCCUUUCAUUUCAGCCCAGCUAUGCUUCCCUAUCUUUUUGCUGAAAACAAACCAAAUUAGCUCCCUGGGAACAUGGGCCCAUAUCCUCAAAGGUGCCUAAAUACCUUUGAGGAUCUGAGCCAUGGUCUUUAAUGCCUGACAUAAUGUGGUGUUACAGGCUGCUGUAAACAGGAAUUGCAAAUCGCACCUCACAAAGGGAAAAGGAGGCAAGUGAGAAACAGACUUGAGGUUUGCUGGGGGCUGGGAAGAUAGUAUAUUUACACAGGAGGUCAUAUAGGGUUUUCCUGUUACAGUACAAAAGUAAAAAGAAAAGAGACUAGAUAAUAUCUUAAAAGCAUUUCUCCACUUCAGAAGUUCCACUCACAGAGACCUUUACACCAAGGUAUAGCUCAGUGCUCUACACAGCUCAGUCCUCAGAAGUAAAUCUGAAUGUCUUCUUUUCCCUAAAAAUCCUCCCUCAUUAAAAAUUAAAAAAAGAACCCAAACCCAAUACAGGAAGGAGAGCUCUCUGACCUAGUAUUCACUAUCCCAUCACAGGGGCCUUGGGUUAUUAUUAAUAGUAAAGAUUAAUUUACAUGUACAACAAUGAAUCUGGGCUGCAUAGUACCUGGUAGUAUGGUAUAGUUAGGAGUAUAGAGGGUGGCAGGCAAAGGCAUUCAAAAGUUAGCUCAAUUGUUAUAUGAAGGAGUAAGUAGCUCUGUGAAAGAAGAGUUGAUGUCAUGGUUGGUUUAUAAAAUGGGGAAAUGCUGAAUGCCUUUUUUUUUUUAACUUAUUUCAUUUUCAUGGACAGGUUGAGAGCAUAGUUCCUCUUUACAGUUUAGUUUAUGGCAGAGCCAUAAAAACAUCUACUGAUUACCUAGUAAAAUAGGUACAUGUUUAUUUUUCUCAGCACAAUGUCCAUAAUUAGUAGUGAACUGAACAAGACUAUUAGGAAAAUGUAAUAUAUAGAUUAUUCAAAUUUGUACAUCCCUGUACUACUUUCAUAUACUUUCUCAGGUACAGUAUAGUCAGGGGAGAGUGAUUUUUGUGUUUGUGGAAUAAAAGUUUACAGUGGCAGGUGUUUACAAUACAGGGGACUGUACUAUAAGGCCAAUAGGUGAAGACCUAAGGGAAGAUUUUCAAAUUGCUGCCUAGGAUUUUACCACUUUAUUCUGAAUGGGAAUUGGAUUGUUAACCCCCUACUUACAGUUGCUGGGAGUAGUCUGUUAGAACGUGGGACAAGCUUGUAUCUUUCCUAAACAUUGCAUAAUUUCAUCCUCUUCCUCUGGAAAAACAUGAGCAUAGUGAAUCACCAGAAAUUCAUAUAUGCUGCUGCUAUUUUAAAUGUUCUAACUUUAUCUCUGAUUACGACAACAUUCAUUGUAAUCUCUGCAAAUAAAUAUAAGGGACAGUCAUAAGACAAAAAAAAGGGGAUGUUUUAACUGCCUUAGUUGAGUUACUCUAACAAUAAUAAUAACUUACAAAAACUAUUAAAAUAAGUUAUUUUGGUUGGAAAGUCAAGGACUUGAAAAUUAGGAAAUGCCAGAUUUACAGUUGUCCAUACAGUCUUACUUCUGUCCCCUUAUACAUCCAUCCUGUGCCUUGAAUGAGGCAGGUUGUGAUGCUGGCAAACCAUGUGUCAGCUUAUGCCACGGUUCCCCUCAACUGAAUACUGACAAAUACAUAGCUGGAACCAGUCUGGUUCACUUGUGUGUUAGUACUGUAUUGUUAAAAUAGGUUUUAGAGUUACAGAAUUGUGCUUAUCAUUUAGACUUCAUAGAAUGCUUGUGAGUUGCUGCAUGCAUUAAUCUCAGUUAUCACAUCUCUGUACUGCAAGGUAAUAUUUGAGCAUUUACAUUAUAAGCCUCUGUAACUGUGUAAAUCACCAGACAGGAGAGAAGCUUUAAUUCGUGUGAAAUACUAGUCUCCAGCAGAAGAUGUUGUGACCUGUCUGACAAAGAAGGCCCAUCGACACCAGAGGAGCUAUUGUGGAACAACAGAGAACAAAAGAUUUUGUUGAUGGCUCUCCCAUUCUCCCCUCACUUGCCCAUGAAGAGGAGAAAUGUAUGUGAAUUCCUCCCAUCAGCUGAGGUUACGAUUUGAAGCAGAAGGGGGAAAAGAAUAAAAAGGCCUAACAAGGACGAACUGCAUCUCUGUGACACUUGGACUCUUGAGGACAAGGUUGUCUAGGCAUAAGCAAGAUAUACAGUAUGUAGCCUGGGUUAGCCCUAAAGGACAUAUAGAGCUCGCUUAUUCUAGAAACUUCUAUUAAUUUUAUAUGUUUACCUGCUAUAAUUUUGUAAAUAACUCUCGUUUCCUUUUAAAUAAAUAUUUAGUUUAUUAUAGGAUUGCCUACAAGAGUUGUCUUUGGUGUGAGAUCCAACGUGCAAUUGACCUGGGGUAAGUGACUGGUCCUUUGGGACUGGAAGUAACCUGAAUGUCGUGAUCUGUGGUGGAAGAGACCAUCUAUCUGAUACCACAAAGCAUUUUUUCCUAAGAAUAGGUUUGGUGAAAUUGGUGGGACACAUCUUAAUUGUCAGCUCUCUGAAUUUGACUUCAUACCUGUAUGAAGAGCACCUAGCACACCCUGGAUGCUAUAAAAGAUUGGCUACAAACGUUUUUGGUAUGAAAUCUCAAGUGCAAUUGACCUGGGGUAAGUGAGUCAUCUAUUGGGACUGGGAGUAAUCUGAAUAUUGCUGUUUUAAUUCUUGGGGUAAAGGACCAUCUAUCACAAAGGUCUGCUCGCCUGGGUGGUGAGAUAGAUCGGAAUGCCGAAGGGUCUGUCUGUGAGUCCAUGUUAAAGCUGUUACAGUGCCUGAUGAGUUUACACUUGAUAAUUGGUUGGUGAAAUCUAAGUACAGAACUCACAACCAGUUUGGGGUUUAUGCCCUGGCUCUUAACAGUCUGCCCUGAGGUUGGCACUCAUGCUUUCGAGUCACAUCAGGCAGCUUUACAUCAGCAUCAUCUGGAUGACUGAUUGGCGAGGAGUCGCUAAAGAGAAAGGGGCGGGGAGCAUUCAUACAAACAUAGCAUUCCUUAUGAUUCGAUCCCUUUGCUGCUCUUAGGUAGCGAUAGCUCCCAAACUGGGUUUUAGGCAAAACUCACCAUUUCUGUUUGUUGGGUACAACACAAAGUUCCAUCAUGGUGAGAUUUACCUUGGGUCAAGUAACUGAUGGGAAGGAUGCAGCAAAGGCCUAGGUAGUCCUGGGGAAUACUAGUGGAAAAGUUCACCUUCUUGUGGUUCUGGAUCAGUGCAGUGAAUAUACUGAGCCUAAUAUAAACAACCGACCACCCAUUCCUAACUGCUAACUAAUUUACAAACACAUUGCUGGAAAGAGAUGCAAUGAGAUUUCAGGACAUGCCAGAGUGCCUUUUUGGGACUGCUGAAAGCAUUUUGAUUUGCCUGAUGAAUAAGUGAUACAAAAAGCAAAAAGUUCCAGCUGGCAUCUACUGCUGCCUUUUCAGCAGACAAUCCUGUCACUGAGUGAGGCAAAAGGGAAUCCCAGCUAUUCACACUCACACAACUCAAUCCAAACUCAGCAAAGUGGGUUUCUCAUUGCCAGUUGGCAUGCCCCAAGGUGAUAGCAGAUCUCUGAGCACUGACCGCACCUGUUGAAAGACUUAUUGCUGUGAUUUAUUUUCCAUUGCAUUGCCCGUGGAAAUGGGAAGAAUUGGCCUUGUCUGUUGAUGUGGAUCAUGAAAAAGAAUUAUACUCGUGAGCAGCAGAAUAAAGUAAUCUCUUCAGGGACCAAGUGGAUUGUGCAUGGCACAGAAUUCCUGGAGUUUGAACAGGUCAUCAUGCAGUACUCAUGGUGCUGAGAGAAAGGAACCUGUGUGCAAAGACCUGAAAGUCAGGAAACAAAGAGAUGUUCCUCUGUUUAUAAAUGCUUUCACUGAAGUCUCCAUAUAUGAUGUUCAAAAGCAAAGAGACCUCAGGCUGGCCGAGGGUCACAGGAAUUGCUGUGUCACAAGAGAUCAAUGGUUCUUUGAGUCUGGCAUCCUGUCUCCAACUCUGGACAAUAUUAAAUGCUUCAGAGGAAAGUGUAAAGACUCCAUAUGCACUAAUUUGUGUUGCCUUUAUACCAGCUUGAGAGUUUGUUUCAUAGUGCUUCAAACACCAGCAUAUCAUCUGCAUUGGCUACAGCUUCAUGUAUCCUGGCAUAUAUUUGUGCUGUUCCAUGUUGGUUAUUAAAUGUAGUAAGCACUGACAUUUCUAUGUGUAUUUAUUUUCCAGUAUUCAGAUCAUGGCAUACACUGGACAUUAGCCAAUUUACUUGUUACUGUAUCAGGCAUGUACCUGGUAAUAUUUUUCCUUGAUUCUCUUGUACGUAUCUCGUAGAUCUAGCCACAGUCACAGCUCUCCUGUGCCAUGG